AUCAACCCAAAAACCUGCAAGAGUUUGUAUGCUUCUGAACUUGAAAACGAAGAAAAAGAGGGGGAAAAAAAUUCCUGCCACAGACCCUGCGCUGUCCAUGGGAGCAUGCUGAAGCUGAAGCUGAAGCAACAAGGAGAAGCACUGGAGCUGUGAUAAAAAGCAAGAAUUGGGAAAGACCCAUUAAGGAAAAGAUUGAAGGGAAUGGCAAAAAUAGCAGGGAUCGAUGUGUGACAAAGACGAUGGGUUCUGGCUGUAAAAGGGAAG
rnacentral:misc_RNA from 1 species